ensembl:lncRNA
GAUAGCGCCAGAAGCCAGGGCAUCAGGCGAGACAGGUGCCAGAGUCCGAGGGUCAGAGAAACCCCUGCUGUUCAAAAUCCUGAGACUAUUAGGGAAAUAAAUCUCAGUCAUGUCAACCACAUCAAGACCCUGAGCAACUGUUUUGCUCUUUCCUGGUCUCUGUCUCUUCGGCUGUAAAUUUUUUCAAGUAGAAAGGUAAAUUCAGUCCCUGUGACUCCAUCUUGUUCAGAACCGAAGUCCCACUGCUUCAUGGAUUACAGCAGACUCUUCCUCUCAGGCUUCCCUGGUGGUCCAGUGGUUGAGAAUCCGCCUGCCAAUGCAGUUAGGGGACACUAAUUUGAUCCCCAGUCUGGAAAGAUCCCACUGGCUGUGAGGCAACUAAGCCCGUGUACCACAACGACUGAGCUUGCACUCUGGAGCCCAUGAGCAGCAGCUACUGAAGCCCACGUGCCCUAGAGCCUGUGCGCCACAGCAAGGGAAGCCACCACAAUGCGAGGCCCGUGCACUGCAUGAGAAAGUAGCCCCCACUCUCCACACUGAGAGAAAGUCCAUGUCCAGCAACAAAGACCUAGUGC